rnacentral:rRNA from 1 species
AUUACACAAAUAUGAAGGCGGGCUGGAACCUCUCGGGGUUACAGCCUUGCUGAAUUAUUCACCCUUGUCUUUUGCGUACUUCUUGUUUCCUUGGUGGGUUCGCCCACCACUAGGACAAACAUAAACCUUUUGUAAUUGCAAUCAGCGUCAGUAACAAAUUAAUAAUUACAACUUUCAACAACGGAUCUCUUGGUUCUGGCAUCGAUGAAGAACGCAGCGAAAUGCGAUAAGUAGUGUGAAUUGCAGAAUUCAGUGAAUCAUCGAAUCUUUGAACGCACAUUGCGCCCUUUGGUAUUCCAAAGGGCAUGCCUGUUCGAGCGUCAUUUGUACCCUCAAGCUUUGCUUGGUGUUGGGCGUCUUGUCUCUAGCUUUGCUGGAGACUCGCCUUAAAGUAAUUGGCAGCCGGCCUACUGGUUUCGGAGCGCAGCACAAGUCGCACUCUCUAUCAGCAAAGGUCUAGCAUCCAUUAAGCCUUUUUUCAACUUUUGACCUCGGAUCAGGUAGGGAUACCCGC